UUUUUUUAUAUAGAUAAGACCGUUGGUUUUCCCGUUUGAAUGGUUUUACACUAGUAAUUUUGGGGCCCGUUAUAGCUUGUUGUUCGGUGUGAGCCAAGGCUCCGUGUUGAAGGCCGUACAUUGACCUGUAAUGGUUUACUUUUAUUAAUUGUUAUUUGGAUGGAGAGUUGUCUCAUUGGCACUCACACCACAUCUUCCUAUAUCUA
rnacentral:lncRNA from 1 species